rnacentral:rRNA from 1 species
AGCGCAGGCGGAAGGACAAGCCGGAUUUGAAAGUUCGGGGCUCACCCCCCGUGACGGAUCCGGAACUGUCCUCCUUGAGAGCGGGAGAAGGAAGCGGAAUUCCUGGUGUAGCGGUGAAAUGCGUAGAUAUCAGGAAGAACACCAGUGGCGAAAGCGGCUUCCCGGACCGAAUCUGACGCUGAGGCUCGAAAGCCAGGGGAGCGAACG